GAAGCGAGAGAACGUUGCGUCAGCAACGGCCCGCAGGGCGAGCCACGCAGUGGCGAGUCAUCCUCUAUCACCGACCA
rnacentral:sRNA from 4 species